GGUAGCAUGCCAGAGUGGUUAAUGGGUGAGACUUGAAUUAGGCUUAAACAAGCCUUCCUAGGGUAUCUCAUGGGUUCGCCCGCGCAGGUUCGAACCCUGCUGCUAUCG